UAGGGAAUAUUGGACAAUGGGUGCAAGCCUGAUCCAGCCAUGCGGCGUGCAGGAAGAAAGCCUUCUGGGUUGUAAACUGCUUUUGCCAGGGGAUAACAACACUUUGCGAAGUGGAUUGAAGGUACCUGGUGAAUAAGCCACGGCUAACUACGUGCCAGCAGCCGCGGUAAUACGUAGGUGGCAAGCGUUGUCCNGAUUNAUUGGGNUNUAAAGGGUGCNUANGNCGNUUCAUUAAGUCAGUGGUNAAAUACGGCAGCUUAACUGUCGAGGUGCCAANGAAUNNUGGUGNANCUNNAGUANNNNNNNNNNAGGCGGAAUGGACGGUGUAGCGGUGAAAUGCUUAGAGAUCGUCCAGAACACCGAUAGCGAAGGCAGCUUACUAAGGAGUAACUGACGCUGAGGCACGAAAGUGUGGGGAUCAAACAGGAUUAGAUACCCUGGUAGUCCACACUGUAAACGAUGAUUACUCGAUGUUGGCGAUACACAGCCAGCGUCUUAGCAAAAGCGAUAAGUAAUCCACCUGGGGAGUACGCCGGCAACGGUG
rnacentral:rRNA from 1 species